rnacentral:tRNA from 2 species
CAAAAAGUAGUUUAUAGUUAGUAGAAUUUUAAUCUUGGGGAUUAAAGGACCUUUCUGGCUUUUUGA